rnacentral:rRNA from 1 species
UACGGAGGGGGCUAGCGUUAUUCGGAAUUACUGGGCGUAAAGCGCACGUAGGCGGAUUGGAAAGUCAGAGGUGAAAUCCCAGAGCUCAACUUUGGAACUGCCUUUGAAACUCCCAGUCUUGAGGUCGUGAGAGGUGAGUGGAAUUCCGAGUGUAGAGGUGAAAUUCGUAGAUAUUCGGAGGAACACCAGUGGCGAAGGCGGCUCACUGGCACGAUACUGACGCUGAGGUGCGAAAGCGUGGGGAGCAAACAGG